rnacentral:rRNA from 1 species
GGAAUCUUGCGCAAUGGUCGAAAGACUGACGCAGCGACGCCGCGUGCGGGAGGAAGCUCUUCGGGGUGUAAACCGCUGUUGCCCGGGACGAAGGUCCAGAUUUGUCUGGAUUGACGGUACCGGGUGAGGAGGCGCCGGCUAACUCUGUGCCAGCAGCCGCGGUAAUCCAGAGGGCGCGAGCGUUGUCCGGAAUCACUGGGCGUAAAGGGCGCGUAGGUGGCCACCAUAAGGCCGCGGUGAAAGUUCGGGGCUCAACCCUGAAUCGGCCGCGGCGACUGUGGGGCUUGGGCACUGUAGAGGCAGAUGGAAUUCCGGGUGUAGCGGUGGAAUGCGUAGAGAUCCGGAAGAACACCGGUGGCGAAGGCGAUCUGCUGGGCAGUGGACCGCAAGGUCCAGUAGCCGACACUGAGGCGCGACAGCGUGGGGAGCAAA